rnacentral:rRNA from 1 species
AAGCUAAUACCGGAUAGGAUCUUCUCCUUCAUGGGAGAUGAUUGAAAGAUGGUUUCGGCUAUCACUUACAGAUGGGCCCGCGGUGCAUUAGCUAGUUGGUGAGGUAACGGCUCACCAAGGCAACGAUGCAUAGCCGACCUGAGAGGGUGAUCGGCCACACUGGGACUGAGACACGGCCCAGACUCCUACGGGAGGCAGCAGUAGGGAAUCUUCCGCAAUGGACGAAAGUCUGACGGAGCAACGCCGCGUGAGUGAUGAAGGCUUUCGGGUCGUAAAACUCUGUUGUUAGGGAAGAACAAGUACAAGAGUAACUGCUUGUACCUUGACGGUACCUAACCAGAAAGCCACGGCUAACUACGUGCCAGCAGCCGCGGUAAUACGUAGGUGGCAAGCGUUAUCCGGAAUUAUUGGGCGUAAAGCGCGCGCAGGCGGUUUCUUAAGUCUGAUGUGAAAGCCCACGGCUCAACCGUGGAGGGUCAUUGGAAACUGGGGAACUUGAGUGCAGAAGAGAAAAGCGGAAUUCCACGUGUAGCGGUGAAAUGCGUAGAGAUGUGGAGGAACACCAGUGGCGAAGGCGGCUUUUUGGUCUGUAACUGACGCUGAGGCGCGAAAGCGUGGGGAGCAA